GCCGGGGUGGUGGAAUUGCUAGACACGAAGGACUUAAAAUCCUUUGGAGGAAUACUCCGUGCGGGUUGGAGUCCCGCCCCCGGCAC
rnacentral:tRNA from 1 species